rnacentral:lncRNA from 1 species
GGGAAUUUUUUGGUUGUUUUGCAGGUGCGGUUUGGGUGCAUUGCAUUCUCCCUUCACACACACACACACACAUAUUAUGCAUCUAUUGAGUGAGUCCCUAUACCUGGGUCUGAGUGCAACUUAGAAAUAGAGGGGUUCUGUAGCGGUGCCACUUGGGCCGUACUACCUGUUUGGUUAUCGUGAGAACCCCAACUAGAGUCUGUCUCUUCAUUUGUAUUUUCACACCUAGUUGAUUACUCGACUGUUGUGGAAAUGCUGUGGAGGGGGCCAUAGCUCUAGUGCCAUUGAUCCUUAGGCUCAAGGAACUAUCCUGGUGAGAUUGAUAUACUUGACCUUGAAUCUAAAAUAUUGAACCUUCACCAGGGCACAAGGGGAGAUGUGUGCGGUCUUAUAACCC